GACAAAAACUGUGUUGUGGACCAGAGUAUUCCUACUUUUAUUCUCUUCACAAAGACCACAGGGAAAAGGAAGCCCUUUUGUUCUCUCUUUCUCUCUUGUUAUUUUAGGUUAAACGCUUGCUUAAGAGCUUCUCUAAUUGGGGUUUCAACUCUAAUAUAUAGCACAAAACUGAGACUCUUUAGCCUGUGGACUUGAGGUUUGCAGGAAGAUUCCAGGCAACCAAACCAAACGAUAAAGCCUUAUAUAUUUCUCUUUCUCUUUCCCUCUUUUUGCUGUUUUGCACUUAAAAAACACUUGGUUUAGGGUUGCAGCCUUGCAGAGAGUGGUGCAGAAAGAGACAGAGAGAGAAAGAAAGAGAGAGAGGGAGAGGCAAUAAUUAGGAGCUGGACUAGUGUGCAGGCUAUGGAAGAGAAAUGGCAUGACCUUGUCGGUUGUUCUGCAAGAGUUCUCUUGUUCUGGGACUGGGUAAUCAUCCAUCUCUUAUACUUAUCACUGUUUUUUUAGUACAAAAGCCACAAAACCAGCCCACCUGUUGCUUUGAUACAUGGAUUUUAUAGGGUUGGAUGGGAUUUUGGGAAACAGCCCUCUUAUGCAUCGCUCUCCUACUAUGCUUUUCACCUCUUCUUUCUUAUAAUUUUAAGAAUUUAAGAUUUCUUCCUUAAUAGCUUCUGCAACUAUCAGCUGCACGGUGCAAUUACAGCUUUGUUACUUCAAAAUCUACAGUUUAAUUGAUUAAGGUAAGUAUUAGUUUAUUCUAGAUAGUAGGGGGCCACAGUAGUCUCAUUUUUCCCGUUUAAUAUUUUUUUUAAUGAAUUUUCUUUUUCUUUUUCCUUUUCCCUGUAUGUCUUUUUAAAAUUGGGUUUCGCAGAAAUUAAUCUCUUCUAAGUCUAAUCAUAAGUCUAUACACUGCUCAAUCACUUGCUUACGUCUUUAGGAAAUAGGGUUCAAAUCAGUGAAACGAGUUGGUGGAUAUCCAUCCAUAAACGUCAAAAUCAGAAUAAGAAAGGAGACUAAUCUUCAGAGUUACCUAGUGAUUAGUUCUUUGAUGAUCGGCUUAAUUUGUUCUGGGAUUGGAUUUGGAUGGGCUAAACUAGGGUUGAAAGGUUCAAAGGAAGAUGCCAUGGUUUUGACAGAGAUAAUCAGGAAGAUGAUGACGAUUUGAGAAGUGGAGGGUACUAGAUAUCAAGACUUAGGUUCAAAGCUUUUAUCUCGCAGAUCAGUUUGAUGGAACUGAGAGGCCUAGAGAAGGAGAUGCCAAGCUCUCUGGAUUACAAUACACCUAAUAGAGAUUCCUCCUGCAAAAUCCCUUCUGCUUCUAUAAUUUCAGCCUUCGGAGCAACAAAAAGUGAUCAUCGUCAUCAAACCGUUACACCUCAAACUCUUGAACACCAUCUUCCACUUAAUCUGCAACAUCAAACUCUCAAACCAGCUAGAGAUCCUGACCAAACCCCAGAUCCAACUCCGGCUCCACUUUCACUUCCAAUUGCUGCCACAAGAGCAACAUCACCUACUGCCAGUAGAUCCAUUUCUAUAUCACCGCCACCACCACCAGCAUCAACAGCUAUCGCCACCGCAUCGACAACAUCAGUUAGAUAUCGAGAAUGUUUGAGAAAUCACGCAGCAAACAUGGGAGGAAUCGUCGUCGAUGGAUGUGGAGAAUUCAUGCCAAGCGGCGAGGAGGGCACCCCAGAAGCGUUGAAAUGUGCAGCUUGUGAAUGCCAUAGGAACUUCCACAGAAAAGAGAUUGGUGGGGAAAAGCCACAAUGCGCAGCCAAUUGUUACUACAAAAACAAUAACCAAAGAAAUACAUUACCUCUUCCUCAACAACUCGCCACUUCACUUCCUUCACCACAGGCUCCUCCUCUUCAAUAUCAUAGAUACCCUCGUGGGUUUUCUUUUAGCGUCUCCACUGCCCCAACUGCACCUAUGAUGAUGACCUUCGGUGGCGGAGGGGGCAGUGGUGGAGCGGAGUCAUCAAGUGAAGAUCUCAAUAUUUUUCAGUCAAAUUUGCAGGGGGUAAGAUCCAAGCGGCCGUCUUCGUUGAAGAAGAGGUUUAGGACAAAGUUUAGCCAAGAACAGAAGGACAAGAUGAUGGAAUUUGCAGAAAGAUUGGGAUGGAAGAUUCAGAAACAAGAUGAGCAAGAAGUGCAGCAGUUUUGCUCACGAGUGGGUGUAAAGCGAAAAGUUUUCAAGGUUUGGAUGCAUAACAACAAACAAUCCAUGAAGAAAAAGCAAAUGUAAGAGCAAUUCUAACCCUUGAAAAACAUAUAUUAUCGUUACUGAAAGAUAAUAUAUAUGUGUCUACAAUAAUAGAUUAUAUGUGCAUAACCGAUCAAAUAAAAGGGAUGAUGAAUAUAGGUUAGCAGUGGCUAUUAAUUUUUCCCCCUUUCAUAUACUCAGAACUGUUUAUUGACAUGAAUCGUUCUUCAUUAGAUGAACGUACAGUGAUCACAAGUUUUUUAGAGUGAAACGAAAUGGGAUUUCUCAAAUUUUCUUUUUCCCAUUGCCUGCCCAAUAUUUUUCUACUGCGUAGAGAGAAAUAUAUGUGCGUGCGUGUGUGUGAUGUUUAAAAAGAAAAAAAAUGAGAGUGAUAAGAUUAAAAGGCUAAUUAGAAUUUCAGUUAAAAUUAAAUCAAA
rnacentral:misc_RNA from 1 species